AUCGAUCAUCUACUCAUCUAGUGCACCUUCUCAAAGAUCACCUAGCAUGAAAUUCUAUCUUGGUGUCGUCUCCGACUGCUCCCGCCCAACGACGAUGCGACCUUGUUCGCUUGGUGGUCGGCCACAUUGCAUGCAUCACCGACGAGCUUGCGAAAGGGCCUCAGCUUCCUCAUCGCCCUUACCGCAUGGUCUAUUUGGAAACAUUGCAACGCCGCCCUCUUCGACAAUCUCCGGCCAUCCAGGGACAAACUUGUCUGCAUUAUCAAUGACGAGGUCUUACUAUGGGCAAGGGCCGGAGCCAAUGGACUUGUUUUCGUGAUCUCUAGUCUAGAAUUAUUGUACCGAGGCUGA
rnacentral:rRNA from 1 species